ACGGGUGAGUAAUAUAUCGGAACGUGCCCAAUCGUGGGGGAUAACGUAGAGAAAUUUACGCUAAUACCGCAUACGAUCUAAGGAUGAAAGCGGGGGACCGUAAGGCCUCGCGCGAUUGGAGCGGCUGAUAUCAGAUUAGGUUGUUGGUGAGGUAAAAGCUCACCAAGCCGACGAUCUGUAGCUGGUUUGAGAGAACGACCAGCCACACUGGGACUGAGACACGGCCCAGACUCCUACGGGAGGCAGCAGUGGGGAAUUUUGGACAAUGGGCGAAAGCCUGAUCCAGCAAUGCCGCGUGCAGGAAGAAGGCCUUCGGGUUGUAAACUGCUUUUGUACGGAACGAAAAAGCUCUUUCUAAUAAAGAGGGCUCAUGACGGUACCGUAAGAAUAAGCACCGGCUAACUACGUGCCAGCAGCCGCGGUAAUACGUAGGGUGCGAGCGUUAAUCGGAAUUACUGGGCGUAAAGCGUGCGCAGGCGGUUAUAUAAGACAGUUGUGAAAUCCCCGGGCUCAACCUGGGAAUUGCAUCUGUGACUGUAUAGCUAGAGUACGGUAGAGGGGGAUGGAAUUCCGCGUGUAGCAGUGAAAUGC
rnacentral:rRNA from 1 species